UUUUUUUUUUUUUUUUUUUUUUCUGUUGCUUCCUCAGCAUGGUAGUCGUACACAGACGCUUUGAUGCUGUCAGUAAAAGAAUACAUGAGAACAUUC
rnacentral:ribozyme from 1 species